GUCCCCAUCGUCUAGAGGCCUAGGACAACACCCUUUCACGGUGUAGACACGGGUUCGAAUCCCGUUGGGGACGCCA
rnacentral:tRNA from 1 species